GGGGAGUUAGCUGAGUCAGGAAAAAGCGAAGGGUGGCCACGCCUUAGACGUAGGUUCAAAUCCUACACUCUCCACAA
rnacentral:tRNA from 1 species